rnacentral:rRNA from 1 species
UGCAAGUCGAGCGGUAGAGAGAAGCUUGCUUCUCUUGAGAGCGGCGGACGGGUGAGUAAUGCCUAGGAAUCUGCCUGGUAGUGGGGGAUAACGUUCGGAAACGGACGCUAAUACCGCAUACGUCCUACGGGAGAAAGCAGGGGACCUUCGGGCCUUGCGCUAUCAGAUGAGCCUAGGUCGGAUUAGCUAGUUGGUGGGGUAAUGGCUCACCAAGGCGACGAUCCGUAACUGGUCUGAGAGGAUGAUCAGUCACACUGGAACUGAGACACGGUCCAGACUCCUACGGGAGGCAGCAGUGGGGAAUAUUGGACAAUGGGCGAAAGCCUGAUCCAGCCAUGCCGCGUGUGUGAAGAAGGUCUUCGGAUUGUAAAGCACUUUAAGUUGGGAGGAAGGGUUGUAGAUUAAUACUCUGCAAUUUUGACGUUACCGACAGAAUAAGCACCGGCUAACUCUGUGCCAGCAGCCGCGGUAAUACAGAGGGUGCAAGCGUUAAUCGGAAUUACUGGGCGUAAAGCGCGCGUAGGUGGUUUGUUAAGUU